GACUCUCGGCAACGGAUAUCUCGCUCUCUCGCAUCGAUGAAGAACGUAGCGAAAUGCGAUACUUGGUGUGAAUUGGCAGAAUCCCGUGAACCAUCGAGUCUUUGAACGCAAGUUGCGCCGAAGCCGUUAGGCCGAGGGCACGUCUGCCUGGGCGUCA
rnacentral:rRNA from 1 species